rnacentral:misc_RNA from 1 species
GAUGAAGAACGUAGCGAAAUGCGAUACGUAAUGUGAAUUGCAGAAUUCAGUGAAUCAUCGAGUCUUUGAACGCACAUUGCGCCCCCUGGUAUUCCGGGGGGCAUGCCUGUCCGGGCGUCAUUGCUGCCCUCAAGCACGGCUUGUGUGUUGGGCCUCCGUCCUCCUCCCGGGGGACGGGCCCGAAAGGCAGCGGCGGCACCGCGUCCGGUCCUCGAGCGUAUGGGGCUUCGUCACCCGCUCUUGUAGGCCCGGCCGGCGCUUGCCGACACAUCAAUCUUUUUUCCAGGUUGACCUCGGAUCAGGUAGGGAUACCCGCUGAACUUAAGCAUAUCAAUAAGCGGAGGA